UACGUAGGGGCUAGCGUUGUCCGGAAUCAUUGGGCGUAAAGCGCGCGUAGGCGGCCAGAUAAGUCCGGAUGUGAAAGGUCAACCAGGCUCAACCUGUGAAUGCCGCUGGAAACUUGUCUGGCUAGAGUCCGGAAGGGGCGAGUGGAAUUCCUGGUGUAGCGGUGAAAUGCGCAGAUAUCAGGAGGAACACCAAUGGCGAAGGCAGCUCGCUGGAACGGUACUGACGCUGGAGGCGCGAAAGCGUGGGGAGCGAACAGG
rnacentral:rRNA from 1 species